UGGGGAAUAUUGGACAAUGGGCGCAAGCCUGAUCCAGCAAUGCCGCGUGUGUGAUGAAGGCCUUCGGGUUGUAAAGCACUUUCGCACGCGACGAUGAUGACGGUAGCGUGAGAAGAAGCCCCGGCUAACUUCGUGCCAGCAGCCGCGGUAAUACGAAGGGGGCUAGCGUUGUUCGGAAUUACUGGGCGUAAAGGGCGCGUAGGCGGCCUACCAAGUCAGGCGUGAAAGCCCCGGGCUUAACCUGGGAAUUGCGCUUGAGACUGGUAAGCUUGAGUUCGGGAGAGGUGAGUGGAAUUCCCAGUGUAGAGGUGAAAUUCGUAGAUAUUGGGAAGAACACCGGUGGCGAAGGCAGCCCCCUGGGAUGAUACUGACGCUCAUGCACGAAAGCGUGGGGAGCAAACAGG
rnacentral:rRNA from 1 species